UGACGAGUUUGAUCCUGGCUCAGAUUGAACGCUGGCGGAAUGCUUUACACAUGCAAGUCGAACGGUAGAGGGGGCAACCCCUCGAGAGUGGCGAACGGGUGAGUAAUAUAUCGGAACGUGCCCAGUCGUGGGGGAUAACGUAGCGAAAGUUACGCUAAUACCGCAUACGAUCUAAGGAUGAAACGCGGGGGUACUCGCAAGACGCCGUCGCGCGAUUGGAGCGGCCGAUAUCAGAUUAGGUAGUUGGU
rnacentral:rRNA from 1 species